AGUCACUGACAUUAGAUACCCGGGUAGUCCCAGCCGUAAACUAUGCGCGUUAGGUGUACUGGUGACCACGAGUCACCGGGGUGCCGAAGGGAAACCGUGAAACGUGCCGCCUGGGGAGUACGUCCGCAAGGAUGAAACUUAAAGGAAUUGGCGGGGAGCACCGCAACGGGAGGAGCGUGCGGUUUAAUUGGAUUCAACACCGUAAAACUCACCAGGGAAGACUGUUACAUGAAGGCCGAGAUGAAGACUCUGCUAGAUUUUCAG
rnacentral:rRNA from 1 species